rnacentral:rRNA from 1 species
GACGAACGCUGGCGGCGUGCUUAACACAUGCAAGUCGAACGGUGAAGUCCGGUUGCGGGGGGGUCAGUGGGGAACGGGUGAGUAACUAGUGGGUAAGUUGCCUUCAGCUGUGGGAUAAAUAACAGAAAGUGGGGGUAACAAAGGAUAUGAAGGCUGACCGCCUGGUUUGGUGGGGGAGGGAUUUAUCGGCUGGGGAUGAGCGCGCGGCGUAUCAGCUUGUUGGUGGGGUAGUGGCCUACCAAGGCGACGACGGGUAGCCGGCCUGAGAGGGUGACCGGCCACACUGGGACUGAGACACGGCCCAGACUCCUACGGGAGGCAGCAGUGGGGAAUAUUGCACAAUGGGCGGAAGCCUGAUGCAGCAACGCCGCGUGCGGGAUGACGGCCUUCGGGUUGUAAACCGCUUUCGCCUGUGACGAAGCGUGAGUGACGGUACUUGCUAAAGAAGCACCGGCCAACUACGUG